rnacentral:lncRNA from 1 species
UGGUUCCUCGGGCAUUCUCUUGCAUAAUGCUGGGCACUGCCAGAUAUGCGACAAGUGUUAUUGAGGCGGUAAUAGGGUCGGUCCCCGUGAUCUCUACCGCAGUGCUGACAGAUCUUCCCACGUGCUGCCCUUGGAGCCUGAGGAGGGGCCUAGAUGACUAGUCUGGGCCUCUUAUUUGGUUGGGCAGGUGCAGUAGGUGCUGGCCUGUGGAACGAAGCUGAGGGUCUGGAACUACCUCCUAGCUGAGGACGGGUGUUGAAGCUCCUUUCCACGAUCUGUGCCUUUGCUAGAACUGCUAAAUAUGUCUUGAGCUCCAGUACCAAUAAGUGUUGCCUGAUCUCCGGGCGGAGGCCCCACUGGAAUCUCCUAGCCUUUCGGCCCUCAUCCAUCAAUGUCUCCGGGGAGUAUCGGCCCAGCUCUAGGAACUUACGAGCAUAUUCCGAUACUGUCAUGUUUCCCUAGACCAGUUGAACAAACUCCAUUUCCUUUAGGUGUCGAAUGUGCUCAGGGAGAUACUCCGCAUGGAAGGCCGUUAAGAACUGCUCCCAAGUGACUGGUGUAGGCAGGGUGGUCUGCUUGAGCUCCCACCAAUGUCCUGCUUCCCCUACCAGCAUGUAGGAAGUAAGGGCAACUCUCUGCUCAGGAACUACUCCCAAGGUCCUGAAAGCUCUCUCAGUCUCUGCUAGCCAGUACUUGGCAUCUUCAAAAGAGGAUCCCCUGCAAAGGUGGAAGGGUUCAGUCUCCUGUAUCUCUCUAUGUAGCCUGGGUCGAUCAAG